rnacentral:sRNA from 1 species
ACCGCACAUUGAAAGAGUCUCCUUAUACUCAAGCCCUUGAACUUUCUGGUCAGCUACCUUUACAAACUGCCUAGCCUCUGUUCUAUGGGAAAGGCCAAUCGAUGAGUUUUCCAUAUCGAUUACGUAUGGUUCUAUUUUGUUCGAGGACCUAACCCAAUCCUGAGGGGAAUCGAUGAAAUGUGUUGGAAGAUAACAAAUGAAGCUGCAUGCUGCGCGGAAGGCCAUUUGCCUAUGCAAAAAGCUGGUCACCAGUGUGUGAAGCCACUCAAAAAGUUUGUAGAUUUGCCAAUUUCAAUCUCCAAAACAACUGAUUAACA